AAAUUGAAGAGUUUGAUCAUGGCUCAGAUUGAACGCUGGCGGCAGGCCUAACACAUGCAAGUCGAACGGUAACAGGAAGCAGCUUGCUGCUUCGCUGACGAGUGGCGGACGGGUGAGUAAUGUCUGGGAAACUGCCUGAUGGAGGGGGAUAACUACUGGAAACGGUAGCUAAUACCGCAUAACGUCGCAAGACCAAAGAGGGGGACCUUCGGGCCUCUUGCCAUCGGAUGUGCCCAGAUGGGAUUAGCUAGUAGGUGGGGUAACGGCUCACCUAGGCGACGAUCCCUAGCUGGUCUGAGAGGAUGACCAGCCACACUGGAACUGAGACACGGUCCAGACUCCUACGGGAGGCAGCAGUGGGGAAUAUUGCACAAUGGGGGAAACCCUGAUGCAGCCAUGCCGCGUGUAUGAAGAAGGCCUUCGGGUUGUAAAGUACUUUCAGCGGGGAGGAAGGCGACAGGGUUAAUAACCCUGUCGAUUGACGUUACCCGCAGAAGAAGCACCGGCUAACUCCGUGCCAGCAGCCGCGGUAAUACGGAGGGUGCAAGCGUUAAUCGGAAUUACUGGGCGUAAAGCGCAUGCAGGCGGUCUGUUAAGCAAGAUGUGAAAGCCCGGGGCUCAACCUCGGAACAGCAUUUUGAACUGGCAGACUAGAGUCUUGUAGAGGGGGGUAGAAUUUCAGGUGUAGCGGUGAAAUGCGUAGAGAUCUGAAGGAAUACC
rnacentral:rRNA from 1 species